AUUCCAGCUCCAAUAGCGUAUAUUAAAGUUGUUGCAGUUAAAAAGCUCGUAGUUGGAUUUCUGGUAGAAGUAGCGACCUUGGGUCUUUGACCUAUGAAGUUGCUAUCUUCAACCAUCCUUGAAGAGAUUUAGUUUGGCAUUAAGUUGUCGAACUAAAGAUAUUCAUCUUUUACUGUGAAAAAAUCAGAACGUUCAAAGUAAGCAUUUAGCUUUGAAUGUAUUAGCAUGGAAUAAUGAAAUAGGACUUAGGUACUACUUUGUUGGUUUAUGCACCUAGGUAAUGAUUAAUAGGGAUAGUUGGGGGUAUUCGUAUUCCAAUGUUAGAGGUGAAAUUCUUGGAAUUUUGGAAGACGAACAACUGCGAAAGCAUUUACCAAGGAUGUUUUCAUUA
rnacentral:rRNA from 1 species